AGGGCAAGUCUGGUGCCAGCAGCCGCGGUAAUUCCAGCUCCAAUAGCGUAUAUUAAAGUUGUUGCAGUUAAAAAGCUCGUAGUUGAAUUUCGGGGUCAGCAGGUCGGUCGUGCCAAUGGUAUGCACUGGCCUUGCUGAUUCCUCCCUCUUGAUGAGCCGUAAUGCCAUUAAUUUGGUGUUGCGGGGAAUCAGGACUGUUACUUUGAAAAAAUUAGAGUGUUUAAAGCAGGCAAGCGCUUGAAUACAUUAGCAUGGAAUAAUGAAAUAGGACGUUUGAUCCUAUUUUGUUGGUUUCUAGGAUUGACGUAAUGAUUAAUAGGGAUAGUUGGGGGCAUUAGUAUUCAAUUGUCAGAGGUGAAAUUCUUGGAUUUAUUGAAGACUAACUACUGCGAAAGCAUUUGCCAAGGAUGUUUUCAUUAAUCAAGAACGAAAGUUAGGGAAUCGAAGACGAUCAGAUACCGUCGUAGUCUUAACCAUAAACUAUGCCGACUAGGGAUCGGAUGAUGUUAAUUUUUUAAUGACUCAUUCGGCGCCUUACGGGAA
rnacentral:rRNA from 1 species